rnacentral:tmRNA from 1 species
GGGGGCGACAGGCUUUCGACUGGGACAGCAGAGGAUUAGGACUUCAGGCAGGGCUGAGUAACCCUUCAAAGGCUCAAAACUAUAACUGCGAACGAAAGUUACGCAUUAGCCGCGUAACGCGGCAACUCGGAUGACGUCCCUUCUCCCGGGAUGUCAAACGGGUUAAAAACAAUGGGAGAUAGCUCCUUCGACGCCGAUAAACCGGAGCGAAACACUUCGGCUCGGGGAAUACAGGGUUUGUUUUUUCUUCCCUAAGUUCCCGACACCUUAAAGAGAGAACCAAGCCUGUGGAUAAGGUUUUAAUUUUCUGGUUUCAGGACGCGGGUUCGAUUCCCGCCGCCUCCAA